rnacentral:rRNA from 1 species
AUUGAACGCUGGCGGCAUGCCUUACACAUGCAAGUCGAACGGCAGCAUAGGAGCUUGCUCCUGAUGGCGAGUGGCGAACGGGUGAGUAAUAUAUCGGAACGUGCCCUAGAGUGGGGGAUAACUAGUCGAAAGACUAGCUAAUACCGCAUACGAUCUACGGAUGUAAGUGGGGGAUCGCAAGACCUCAUGCUCCUGGAGCGGCCGAUAUCUGAUUAGCUAGUUGGUGGGGUAAAAGCUCACCAAGGCGACGAUCAGUAGCCGGUCUGAGAGGACGACCAGCCACACUGGGACUGGGCCACGGCCCAGACUCCUACGGGAGGCAGCAGUGGGGAAUUUUGGACAAUGGGGGCAACCCUGAUCCAGCAAUGCCGCGUGAGUGAAGAAGGCCUUCGGGCUGUAAAGCUCUUUUGUCAGGGAAGAAACGGUUCUGGAUAAUACCUGGGACUAAUGACGGUACCUGAAGAAUAAGCACCGGCUAACUACGUGCCAGCCGCCGCGGUAA